rnacentral:rRNA from 1 species
AGAGUUUGAUCCUGGCUCAGAACGAACGCUGGCGGCGUGCUUAAGACAUGCAAGUCGUGCGAGAAAGCCGCCUUCGGGCGGUGAGUAAAGCGGCGCACGGGUGAGUAACGCGUGGGUAAUCUACCUAUAGGUCUGGGACAACUCCGGGAAACUGGGGCUAAUACCGGAUAAGACCACGGGGCCCUCGGGUCCUGCGGAAAAAGGUGGCCUCUUCUUGAAAGCUAUCGCCUACUGAUGAGUCCGCGUCCCAUUAGCUUGUUGGUGAGGUAAAGGCUCACCAAGGCUCCGAUGGGUAGCUGGUCUGAGAGGAUGAUCAGCCACACUGGAACUGAGACACGGUCCAGACUCCUGCGGGAGGCAGCAGUCGGGAAUUUUGGGCAAUGGGGGAAACCCUGACCCAGCAACGCCGCGUGAGGGAUGAAGGCCCUCGGGUCGUAAACCUCUGUCAGAAGGGAAGAAAGGUCUCCGUUCGAAUAAAGCGGGGGCUUGACGGUACCUUCAAAGAAGCACCGCUAACU